rnacentral:rRNA from 1 species
UCGGCUUAGAGUUUGAUCCUGGCUCAGAUUGAACGCUGGCGGCAGGCCUAACACAUGCAAGUCGAGCGGUAGGGAAGCUUGCUUCUCACGAGCGGCGGACGGGUGAGUAAUGUAUGGGGAUCUGCCCGAUAGAGGGGGAUAACUACUGGAAACGGUAGCUAAUACCGCAUAAUCUCUCAGGAGCAAAGCAGUUCGUUGCGCUAUCGGAUGAACCCAUAUGGGAUUAGCUAGUUGGUGAGGUAAUGGCUCACCAAGGCGACGAUCCCUAGCUGGUCUGAGAGGAUGAUCAGCCACACUGGGACUGAGACACGGCCCAGACUCCUACGGGAGGCAGCAGUGGGGAAUAUUGCACAAUGGGCG